AAAGGAAUUGACGGGGGCCCGCACAAGCAGUGGAGUAUGUGGUUUAAUUCGAAGCAACGCGAAGAACCUUACCUGGGCUUGACAUGGAGGCGACAGGCAUAGAGAUAUGCCCUUCUUCGGACGCCUCACACAGGUGGUGCAUGGUUGUCGUCAGCUCGUGUCGUGAGAUGUUGGGUUAAGUCCCGCAACGAGCGCAACCCUUAUCAUUAGUUGCCGCAUUAAGUUGGGCACUCUAAUGAGACUGCCGUUGACAAAACGGAGGAAGGUGGGGAUGACGUCAAAUCAUCAUGCCCCUUAUGUCCAGGGCUACACACGUACUACAAUGGCGGUAAACAACGGGAAGCGAAACUGCGAAGUGGAGCAAAUCCCCAAAAGCCGUCUCAGUUCGGAUUGCAGGCUGCAACUCGCCUGCAUGAAGUCGGAAUUGCUAGUAAUCGCGAAUCAGCAUGUCGCGGUGAAUACGUUCCCGGGCCUUGUACACACCGCCCGU
rnacentral:rRNA from 1 species